AGCACCAACAAGGCCUUCAUCUUGUUCCCACUGCUGGCAAAAGCUCCACGGUGCCCACCUUCCUCCAUCAGGAAGCAGUCCAGGACCACAUCCACUGCCCGCCACUGCCUUUCUACUGCAGGGAACAGGCUGGGAGGAACAGGGCUCCGACUACGGUGAAAGCAAGAAACACUCCAGAGAGGACCACAAGGAUGCGGAUGCACUCCGAGCUGCACCUUUGGGCUGUGAUGGGCAGGGGCCACAAGGGGGUUUUUGGGAGGGCUUAGCCCUAGACUCUCCUCAGCCCAUCCCUCCUGUCACCCUUGCCUCUUCCCUUUCCCCACCUUCCUCCCCUACUCCUAGCAAUGGACUGAAUCCUUUCCUAAUCCCUGGGCUCUGCUUCUGCCUCUUCUUCUUAUCCUGCCCCUAGGAGCUUUCUGGCUGGCUUCUCUCCUGGACGCUCCUGUCUGUAUUCGCUCUCUUGGGGUGGGGAGUGGGGGGAAAACUCACAAGACAAGUAGGUGGAGAGAGUUGGGACAGGAACCUGCACGACGUCAGCCAGAGUCUGAGUGUACCGGCUGGUCCUGGCCUCUGGUAUUGCUGGAAAAGGAGACCAGAUGAGUGGCUGCAGGGGGCCCAGAGGGCACAAGGCUAGGCUGAAGGCCGCAGUCACUCUCUACUAAGGAGGCAGAGAUGGGAAGGCCGACAGCCGACUUGGCAAUUUAUACGGGGCUGAGCCUGGGAGAGGGGGUGCUGGUCGAGGUGGGACCCUUAAACAAAGGGUUGCGGAGAAUUUACCUUCAGCAUAAGGUGGGUGGGAGGGUUGUGGGUGUGGGCCUGGGGCCUGGGCUGGACCAUCACACUCUGUACACUCCUUGUCCCUGCACUGCCAGCCCUCAGGGCAGGCACACUUGGCGUUGGCAGUGAGGGUGCAGUUUUGAACGAAAAGACCUAGUGACAGAGGAAGCCAAGGAACACACAAGGUUAAUCUCUCCCCCACUCCUCCAGCCCCAUCCCAGGCCCACCUCCUGGGACCUGCUGUCCUUCCGGUUCCCCCACCACCCCAAGACCUGCCCCUCCCUCACUGUCACCCAGUGCCUUUGCCACUCAUGUUAUUGUUAUUUAAGAGAAACUCGGGCUUUUUAGAAGAUUCAUGUUUCAGAAGUAGAAACAGCUUACAUGAUUUUCUCUCUUACUAGUGCUUUUAUAAUUUCUUAUUGAAUUAUACUUUAGAGAGGUACAUGUGUCAGAAGUGUAAAGCUUGAGAACUGGGAAAAUUGGACUCACAGGUGUAAUGGGCGCCAAUUUAGAAAGCAGUGUUCCUUUCUAGUUUCUAAUGCCUCCUCCCAUCCCCCCAAGAAUAGCAACUAGCCUGACUUUCUAAAACCAUGAGUUGGUUCUGCCAGUUUCUGAACUACAUAUGUGGCAUCAUGUGUGUGUACUCAUUGUGGCUGGCUGCCUUUACUCAGCCAGGUGAUUGCGUGUGAUUGCAAAUCCUUCAUUCUCACUGCUGUAUAGUAUUCCACUGUGUGUGAAUAUGCCACGAAUUAUUCAUCCAUCCUACUGUUAUUGUGCAUUUGGGUAGUUUCCAGUUUUUAGCAAUUAGGAAUAGUGCUGCUGUGGUCCCCUAUAGGUACUUAACUGUACUAGAGAGUAAAGUUGAUUACUGACAUCCUUUGCCUUUAAAAUAUAAAUUGUGUUCAAUGUAGAGGUCAGGUGACUGCCAAUCAGUGAUCCUGGGGGAGAUGGGUAUGAAGGGCAUUGUGUGAGUUGUGUUGAUGAUAGGGGCGUUGAGAAGAGAAGGGUGAUUCUGGGGAAGGCAGUGGGGGGCCUGGUGGGGUCCUAGGGCAGUGCACUCAUGGGAGCCCAGGGACAGGAGCCCUGAUAGGUGGGAGAGGGGUGCAAAAAGGAACAUUCAAGGAUGCCAAAGACUACUAUCAACUCGAACAAUUUCUUUAGCAGUUGCCUUUUGUCAGGAAAGAGUGUAAAUUCCUUCUCUUCCUUAUGCCUCUAUGGCCUCUUGUUUCUGAAUUCUGACUCAUAGUUGUGCCUUACCAGGAAUUGUGAGUCAAUUGUGAGCCAAGGAUCUGCAAGGGAAGAGUGGUGAUGGGAGAGGGAAUGGUGGUGGUGAAAAUAAGAAGGGUAGGAAAGUCAAAGAUCCAGGGGGCUUAACGGGAUGGGAAGGGAAGGAUUAGAGAAGGGCAUUGGUUAAAAAUGGGUGAAGGGUCAUUGUUUUCAGUGAUGAGUCUCCAGAAACUUUGGAGUUCCUUUUACCACGUGUGAUCUGUGCUCAGAAUUCCACAGGGAUUUCAGGCACUUGUCCAUCUUACAGAUGCCUGAGUGCUGUGGGAUGGAUCGAGGGGCUGGCUCACAGAGAGGGUCCAUGGCUUAGGCUUGUCUGGAGCACAGGCAAAGGAGUGCAGACUGGCUCAGGAUCAGGAAAAGGCCUUCCAGUGGGGCCUGCAGAGUGAGGAGGGCGUUUGACUAAAAAAUCCCAAUCUCGCCAGGGUUGUUGCCAAGGAGAGAAAAGUGUCCAUUAACAAUCAUAUUUCUAGGUUAAAUAGACUGGGGAUACUUGUUGUGUAUUAUAGAUGUUGCCAUUUGAUUGAUUUGCAGUGGCAAAACUUUGUAGUUAUUUUAAAGAGUACAGUAUUAAAAUGCCUAAUCAGA